rnacentral:rRNA from 1 species
UACGUAGGGGGCUAGCGUUGUCCGGAAUCAUUGGGCGUAAAGAGCGCGUAGGCGGCCAGAUAAGUCCGGUGUGAAAGUCAAAGGCUCAACCUUUGAAUGCCGCUGGAAACUGUCUGGCUAGAGUCCGGGAGGGGCGAGUGGAAUUCCUGGUGUAGCGGUGAAAUGCGCAGAUAUCAGGAGGAACACCGGUGGCGAAGGCGGGACUCUGGGCCGAUACUGACGCUGAGGAGCGAAAGCGUGGGGAGCGAACAGG